GACGAACGCUGGCGGCGUGCUUAACACAUGCAAGUCGAACGGAAAGGCCCUGCUUUUGUGGGGUGCUCGAGUGGCGAACGGGUGAGUAACACGUGAGUAACCUGCCCUUGACUUUGGGAUAACUUCAGGAAACUGGGGCUAAUACCGUAUCGGAGCUCCUGCUGCAUGGUGGGGGUUGGAAAGUUUCGGCGGUUGGGGUUGGAUUCGCGGCUUAUCAGCUUGCUGGUGGGGUAGUGGCUUACCAAGGCUUUGACGGGUAGCCGGCCUGAGAGGGUGACCGGCCACAUUGGGACUGAGAUACGGCCCAGUCUCCAACGGUAGACAGCAGGGGGGAGUAUUGCACAAUGGGCGGACGCCUGAUGCAGCAACGCCGCGGGCGGGAUGACGGCCUUCGGGUUAUAAACCGCUUUCGCCUGUGACGAAGCGUGAGUGACGGUAAUGGGUAAAGAAGCACCGGCUAACUACGUG
rnacentral:rRNA from 1 species